GGAACGGAGAACAGCCGCGGCAACAACACCAAGCCCAACCCAACAGCUGCCAGCAACCUCGCACCACCACCACCUCCUCCGCCGCCGCCGCCGCAGCAACAGGCCUGCAGCCGCCGGCGCCGGCGCCGUCGAAGACUACCUGAACCCCCGCCGUCCUGACCCGGCAAGCGGAGCGUCCCGCGAAAGCCCGCCUCGGCGGCGCCCCGCGACAGCUGCAGCAGCGCGUGGAGCCUGACGGGAGCAGCAGCAGCAGCAGGGCCCGAUCGCUCCCGCCUCGGCCUCGCCCGCGCGCGCAGCAGAAGCAAAGUGACUUUUCCAGUUUGGCAGUGUAUAUCAGAGUUCAGAUUGGAAAAUUAAAGUUUUUACUGGGCAUUUUUGUGGGUUUCUACAUUUUGGUUCAGCUGUAUUUAUAUGGAAUCUCUUUCUUUAGAAAUGCCAUCCUCUACACCACCGUCAGGGCAACCAGCAGCACCAAGCUUUCAACCAUUACCAUCAUCUGCAGUAGUACAGAGUACUCGUAUUGAUGUUUGUGAGAUCAAGUCCAAGAUUUUUAAAAGGAUUGGUCCUGAACGAGCAAGGAAGUACUUUCAGCAGCUGGAGAGGUUCUUAUCUUCAAGAUUGAGCAAGAAUGAAUUCGAAAAAUUGUGUAUUGUGGCACUUGGCUGUGAGAAUCUCCCAUUGCAUAACCACCUCAUCCGUUCUAUCCUACAUAAUGCCAGUAGGGCAUGUGGCCCACCAGUAAUCAAUGACCCUAAGUUGGUCAGAGGUGCCACCAGUUCUGGCCAUACAUUUGUUCGUCCUGCCUGGGACAAUGCUGGUGCUUUGAACCAGAAUUUCAAAGAGAACAAACUAACAAGCAGAAGGGAAAAUGCAUUAUCGCAGAAGUCAUUGCUGAAUCAUUAUGAGACUAUUAUUCAGGAGAAUGGUGUUCAUCAUUUGAGUGAUCUGAAGGGAUGUACACAACUUCAAAAAGGUGACCAUCUGGAAACACUUAUCAAGCGACCGUGUGUCGAGAAGGAACCAUUCAGUUUACACUCUCUGCAUAGCAAUGGGUCUGCUCUGCCUUCAUGUGAAAACCUGGGGAAAGAAAUUAUACACCAAUCCCAUGGUCCAGUGCAAGCUCCACUUGGCAUUCAGUUACGCCCUGAUAGUAUUAUAGGGGCCCGAAAACCUUUACCCCUUGCUUCUUUGAGCUCAAAGGAUACCUCUGAUACCUGUAUUGACUUUGGUGAACUAUGUGAUACAUUGUCAGUGAAGAAGAGGAUGGACCAAAUAGCAGAAUCAGAAGGGUUAGAAGGGGCGUCAAUAGAGUGUGCCAAUUUGUUGAAUAAUGGUAUAGAUGCAUUCAUUAAGCAGUUGAUUGGAUCUUGCGUUGAAUUAGUGACAGCAAGAUCUCAACUUGGCAAACUAAGAAAUCAGGUAUUGAAGCAGCAGCUGCGCCGAAAGCUAGUAAAUGGUGUAUCACUGCAAAAUCAUAUUCCUGGGCAGGGUUGCAUUGUACCUUCAGAGACAAAUUCCAUAUCCAUACAGGACUUAAAGGCAGUGAUGGAGUUAAACCCUCGUUUGCUUGGGGUUAAUGCAUCACUACUACUUGAGAAAAUCAAUUCGUAUGACUAGUGGGAUGGAGCGAGUUGGAUUCAUGUCGUCACAUGAUUCUACGAUCUUGAUGAUGUGUCUUGCUCCAUGGCUGUAGUAGUCAGGCCAUAGUUUACUGAUGGGUGGUGGAAAAGGCAAGCGAAUUCUGUGUAGUGUCCUGAUUGUUUUCCAUCUCAGCUCCAGUGCAAUCUUCUAGAAUAAGCAAAGCUCUGCUUAUCUACUGGUUGCCGUAUUUUAUGACAUUUCAUGCACCGAUUCACCACUAUGGGCAAAGUGCUUCAGAGAGAACUAUGGUGCUGGACUCCAAACAAAUUUGAGGAGCCAUAUCACAGAUUUGAUCUGGCUCGCGCUCUGGAUGGUUUGAUGACUAUCCAGGACUCCAGGUUAAAAGAUAGAGAUGCAGCCAUGCUGAUGAUGGCAAUUUGUAAAUGGUUGUCUUGUCUCCAGGAGUGAGAGCCCAACUCAUCUGCAGCCUGCAGAUACCUCUGCAAGUGAUACGACCAUAGGAUAGUGCGAAAUAAAAGCUGGGUGGCUGUUUCUUCACAUUGUUUGCCAGAGUGUUGGCAAAAAAAAAUGGUAGGCUUGUCAUCUCAUGACAGAAAAUUCAAGAUUUUGGUGAGAAAGGCAUAAUAAAAGGCUUUCAUGAGAAA